CACUGUGGAUGAUGAUGAUGAUGAUGAUGAUGAUGAUGAUGAUGAUCAUCAUCAUCAUCAUCAUCAUCAUCAUCAUCAUGAAAU
rnacentral:pre_miRNA from 1 species